GGAUCCCUACGGGGCGCAGCAGUGGGGGAUAUUGCACAAUGGGGGGAACCCUGAUGCAGCGACGCCGCGUGGGCGAUGGAGUACUUCGGUAUGUAAAGCCCUAUCAGCAGGGAAGAAAAUGACGGUACCUGACUAAGAAGCCCCGGCUAAAUACGUGCCAGCAGCCGCGGUAAUACGUAGGGGGCAAGCGUUAUCCGGAUUUACUGGGUGUAAAGGGAGCGUAGACGGCAGCGCAAGUCUGGAGUGAAAUGCCGGGGCCCAACCCCGGAACUGCUUUGGAAACUGUGCAGCUCGAGU
rnacentral:rRNA from 1 species